GAUGAACGCUGGCGGCGUGCCUAAUACAUGCAAGUCGAGCGAACAGAUGAGGAGCUUGCUCCUCUGACGUUAGCGGCGGACGGGUGAGUAACACGUGGAUAACCUACCUAUAAGACUGGGAUAACUUCGGGAAACCGGAGCUAAUACCGGAUAAUAUAUUGAACCGCAUGGUUCAAUAGUGAAAGACGGUUUUGCUGUCACUUAUAGAUGGAUCCGCGCCGCAUUAGCUAGUUGGUAAGGUAACGGCUUACCAAGGCAACGAUGCGUAGCCGACCUGAGAGGGUGAUCGCCCACACGGGAACGGGAACAGGUUCAAGAUUCUAAGGGAAGGCGGCGGUGGGGAAUCUUCGGCAAUGGCGAAAGCCUGACGGAGCAACGCCGCGUGAGUGAUGAAGGUCUUCGGAUCGUAAAACUCUGUUAUUAGGGAAGAACAAAUGUGUAAGUAACUAUGCACGUCUUGACGGUACCUAAUCAGAAAGCCACGGCUAACUACGUG
rnacentral:rRNA from 1 species